UGAAAGGAUAGAUGGAUGGAUGGAUGGAGGGAGGGAGGGAUGGAUGGACAGAAAGAUGUAGGGAUAGAUGGAGGGAUGGAUGGAUGGAUGGUGGGAUGGACAGAUGAAGGGAACCCCUCAGCUGCCUUUGCGCUGCCUUUUGCUGCCCGCAGCUUCUGCCUGCCACAGUUUUGGUUCCUCUGGGCUGGUUCCUGAGGAAGCCCCAGCAGUGCAGCCACCAGAGCCAACUUUCCUCGAGCGCUGCGUCCCACGCACAGCUCAGCAUCCCCGUGUGCCGCCAUCGGGCUCUGCGCGGUGGCACGUCCCCAUCCCCAUGGACAGACAUGGGCAUGGAGCAGCUCUGUGGGAGCACGACGCAGCGAGCUCUGUCUCCCGCAGUUCUGCUUUGGCUGUCAAUGCUCUCUUGGAGCUGUGGGCUCAGCCGUGUGCCGCAUGCGAUGCGCUGAGGGUCGCGUGGAGCAUCAAAGUGUUUGCAGAGCCGGAUGUUUUCCUCCCACAGGCGCCAGCGGUGAAGCCGGAGAUUUUACAGCCCGGCAACAGCAAUAAAAUUUGUGCUUUCAGAGCAGCA